GUGGUCUCUCCUCUUCCCAUACACACCUUACGGAUUCUUCACAGGGUGUGAUGAUGGGAAGCCUAGACACGCUUAUCAGAAGUUUGUCCUCUUAUCGGGAUACGUCAGAAAUUAGAGAGACCCUGGCAAUCACAGCUUCCACCUCCUCAUUUUACAAAUGAGCAACUAGGCUCAGAGUACAGAAGUGGCUUUCCCAGGGUCACACAGCCAGCUUGUGACAGAGUCAGGAUUCAAGUACCAUCUCCUGACUUCUCCAUUGCACCAGACGUCGAUAGAACACAGAGAACCUAAAAGAAGAAAGAAAAAAAAAUAGAGCUUUUGGGAAUAUAUUGGGCUUCUGGUUUUCAAGGACAAUUUUAUGAUAAGUAGCAAUGAUGCCUCAAAAGCUCUGGUAGCUAGCUUGAAUGAACUUAUGUAAUAAACAUUUAUCACAGAACAUGUGUCAUCAAACACCUGCCAGUUCUGAGCGUUGGCACCAAAGCUGCUUUCAUUGUCAAAGAAAAGAGGGGGAAAGGAACUUGGCUGAACAAAGCUGGCAGACGUUUAUACUAGAAAAUUUAGAGGUAAUUUCUAGAGGAACAGAAACACAUUUUCAAAGUCUUAUAAAAUUUAUUUAAAUGUGAUUGGGUGAAUUUAGCAGUUAAAGAAGUGAAGAACACUGAGGUCCAAUUGGUGCCUGAGGCUUCUUCCAGGACCCAGUCUUUUCUGUCUGCCUUGGGCACAGAUUUCUAGAUGCCUGAAGAUGGACAGGCCCAGAGGUUGCCCAGAGUGAUGUCUGAGAUUACUGAUCUCUAUCUAGGCUUCCAUAGAAACACAUCCCAAAACGUUCUUGGUUCUUAUUGGAAUCUCAUCUCAUUUGCAGAACAUGGCCAGAGUCAAAGAGACAUGGACCAUGUGUCACUCAGACUGAGUCCAUCCAUACAAAGAGAAUUCUCUAGCCUGUAUUGGAAGUCAAUCUACAUCAGCAUGACAGGGCAUGUAGCCGAAUACGUGGCCACUUCCCUUUGGCUACCCACACAUUUUUGAACUGCAAGAUCUGUUCUUUAUCUACUCAUCUAAUGGUUAUUACUGGGAGAGCACUGGACUAUAAAUUCUGUUGCACUUGCAGGUGUAAUGAGCUCUUUGAACCUCAGUUUCCUCACCCAUCAGAUACUAUUCAUUAUCUGCCUUGCGGACAACACCUAGUUGUUGGGAACAUUGCAUGAAUGGCAGGUGGAGGUGCUUUGUAAACGCUAAAGCCUGCCAUGAAUGUGAAGGAGUGUUGCUACUCUUCUGUGCCCAACAAUGUGCUAGCACCAAGGGAGUUCAAAAGAAAUGUGAGACAUGGUCCCUACCCUCCAGGAACUUACAACUCAUUGUUGGGAGACCAAGACACAUCCCCUAAAAACAGAUAUGUAACACCUCAAGUCUGUGAAGUACUUACUAUUUAAAUGAUGCCCAGAGCCUCUGAAUCCCCUAGAAGUACAGAGGAGGGGGAGAUCAUUAAUGGUGUGGAGAAGUUGGAGGAGGUGAGACGAUGCCAGG
rnacentral:lncRNA from 1 species